rnacentral:rRNA from 1 species
GACGAACGCUGGCGGCGUGCCUAAUACAUGCAAGUAGAACGCUGAAGGAGGAGCUUGCUUCUCUGGAUGAGUUGCGAACGGGUGAGUAACGCGUAGGUAACCUGCCUUGUAGCGGGGGAUAACUAUUGGAAACGAUAGCUAAUACCGCAUAAUAGUAGAUGUUGCAUGACAUUUGCUUAAAAGGUGCAAUUGCAUCACUACCAGAUGGACCUGCGUUGUAUUAGCUAGUUGGUGAGGUAACGGCUCACCAAGGCGACGAUACAUAGCCGACCUGAGAGGGUGAUCGGCCACACUGGGACUGAGACACGGCCCAGACUCCUACGGGAGGCAGCAGUAGGGAAUCUUCGGCAAUGGACGGAAGUCUGACCGAGCAACGCCGCGUGAGUGAAGAAGGUUUUCGGAUCGUAAAGCUCUGUUGUAAGAGAAGAACGAGUGUGAGAGUGGAAAGUUCACACUGUGACGGUAUCUUACCAGAAAGGGACGGCUAACUACGUG